GAUGAACGCUGGCGGCGUGCCUAAUACAUGCAAGUCGAGCGAAUGGAUUAAGAGCUUGCUCUUAUGAAGUUAGCGGCGGACGGGUGAGUAACACGUGGGUAACCUGCCCAUAAGACUGGGAUAACUCCGGGAAACCGGGGCUAAUACCGGAUAACAUUUUGAACCGCAUGGUUCGAAAUUGAAAGGCGGCUUCGGCUGUCACUUAUGGAUGGACCCGCGUCGCAUUAGCUAGUUGGUGAGGUAACGGCUCACCAAGGCAACGAUGCGUAGCCGACCUGGGAGGGUGAUCGGCCACAAUGGGACUGCGACACGGCCCAGACUCCUACGGGAGGCAGCAGUAGGGAAUCUUCCGUAAUGGACGAAAGUCUGACGGAGCAACGCCGCGUGAGUGAUGAAGGCUUUCGGGUCGUAAAACUCUGUUGUUAGGGAAGAACAAGUGCUAGUUGAAUAAGCUGGCACCUUGACGGUACCUAACCAGAAAGCCACGGCUAACUACGUGCCAGCAGCCGCCGUAA
rnacentral:rRNA from 1 species